rnacentral:rRNA from 1 species
GCAUAUCAAAAAGCGGAGGAAAAGAAACUAACAAGGAUUCCCCUAGUAACUGCGAGUGAAGCGGGAAAAGCUCAAAUUUAAAAUCUGGUGGUCUUUGGCCAUCCGAGUUGUAAUCUAGAGAAGUGUUAUCCGCGCUGGACCGUGUACAAGUCCCCUGGAAUGGGGCGUCAUAGAGGGUGAGAAUCCCGUCUUUGACACGGACUACCAGGGCUUUGUGAUGCACUCUCAAAGAGUCGAGUUGUUUGGGAAUGCAGCUCAAAAUGGGUGGUAAAUUCCAUCUAAAGCUAAAUAUUGGCGAGAGACCGAUAGCGAACAAGUACCGUGAGGGAAAGAUGAAAAGAACUUUGGAAAGAGAGUUAAACAGUACGUGAAAUUGUUGAAAGGGAAACGCUUGAAGUCAGUCGCGUCUGCCAGGGAUCAACCUUACUUUUGUGAGGCGUACUUCCUGGUUGAUGGGUCAGCAUCAGUUUUGGUCGCUGGAUAAAGGUCAGAGAAAUGUGGCACCUUCGGGUGUGUUAUAGUCUUUGAUCAGAUACAGUGGCUGGGACUGAGGAACUCAGCGCCGCAAGGCUGUCUUAGGAUGCUGGCAAAAUGGCUUUAAUCGACCCGUCUUGAAACACGGACAAAAGGGAGUCA